rnacentral:rRNA from 1 species
GACGAACGCUGGCGGCGUGCUUAACACAUGCAAGUCGAGCGGAAAGGCCCUUUCGGGGGGACUCGAGCGGCGAACGGGUGAGUAACACGUGAGUAAUCUGCCCCUGGCUUUGGGAUAGCCACCGGAAACGGGGCUUAAUACCGGAUACGAACACUUCACGCAUGGGAGGGUGGUGGAAAGUUUUUCGGCCAGGGAGGUGCGGGCGGCCUAGCAGCUUGAUGGUGAGGUAAUGGCUCACCAUGGUUUCGACGGGUAGCCGGCCUGAGAGGGGGACCGGGCACACUGGGACUGAGACACGGCCCAGUCUCCUACGGGAGGCAGCAGUGGGGAAUAUUGGACAAUGGGCGGAAGCCUGAUCCAGCAACGCCGCGUGAGGGAUGACGGCCUUCGGGUUGUAAACCUCUUUUAGCAGGGAAGAAGCGAAAGUGACGGUACCUGCAGAAAAAGCACCGGCUAACUACGUGCCAGCAGCCGCGGUAA